rnacentral:rRNA from 1 species
UUGGCGAACGGGUGAGUAACACGUGAGUAACCUGCCCUUAACUCUGGGAUAAGCCUGGGAAACUGGGUCUAAUACCGGAUAUGACUCCUCAUCGCAUGGUGGGGGGUGGAAAGCUUUAUUGUGGUUUUGGAUGGACUCGCGGCCUAUCAGCUUGUUGGUGAGGUAAUGGCUCACCAAGGCGACGACGGGUAGCCGGCCUGAGAGGGUGACCGGCCACACUGGGACUGAGACACGGCCCAGACUCCUACGGGAGGCAGCAGUGGGGAAUAUUGCACAAUGGGCGAAAGCCUGAUGCAGCGACGCCGCGUGAGGGAUGACGGCCUUCGGGUUGUAAACCUCUUUCAGUAGGGAAGAAGCGAAAGUGACGGUACCUGCAGAAGAAGCGCCGGCUAACUACGUGCCAGCAGCCGCGGUAAUACGUAGGGCGCAAGCGUUAUCCGGAAUUAUUGGGCGUAAAGAGCUCGUAGGCGGUUUGUCGCGUCUGCCGUGAAAGUCCGGGGCUCAACUCCGGAUCUGCGGUGGGUACGGGCAGACUAGAGUGAUGUAGGGGAGACUGGAAUUCCUGGUGUAGCGGUGAAAUGCGCAGAUAUCAGGAGGAACACCGAUGGCGAAGGCAGGUCUCUGGGCAUUAACUGACGCUGAGGAGCGAAAGCAUGGGGAGCGAACAGGAUUAGAUACCCUGGUAGUCCAUGCCGUAAACGUUGGGCACUAGGUGUGGGGGACAUUCCACGUUUUCCGCGCCGUAGCUAACGCAUUAAGUGCCCCGCCUGGGGAGUACGGCCGCAAGGCUAAAACUCAAAGGAAUUGACGGGGGCCCGCACAAGCGGCGGAGCAUGCGGAUUAAUUCGAUGCAACGCGAAGAACCUUACCAAGGCUUGACAUGAACCGGAAAUACCUGGAAACAGGUGCCCCGCUUGCGGUCGGUUUACAGGUGGUGCAUGGUUGUCGUCAGCUCGUGUCGUGAGAUGUUGGGUUAAGUCCCGCAACGAGCGCAACCCUCGUUCUAUGUUGCCAGCGCGUGAUGGCGGGGACUCAUAGGAGACUGCCGGGGUCAACUCGGAGGAAGGUGGGGACGACGUCAAAUCAUCAUGCCCCUUAUGUCUUGGGCUUCACGCAUGCUACAAUGGCCGGUACAAAGGGUUGCGAUACUGUGAGGUGGAGCUAAUCCCAAAAAGCCGGUCUCAGUUCGGAUUGGGGUCUGCAACUCGACCCCAUGAAGUCGGAGUCGCUAGUAAUCGCAGAUCAGCAACGCUGCGGUGAAUACGUUCCCGGGCCUUGUACACACCGCCCGUCAAGUCAUCGAAACA